rnacentral:lncRNA from 11 species
AUGCAGGGCAUUUGAGAUAAAUAUUUUUUGGUUAGUCGGAGUGUGGUUUUCCAUCUAAAUGCAGCCCCUAACCUGCCACAUUUUUUAUUUUUAUGGUGAGAUUUUUGAUCAGCAGGAAAGAUGAUGUUGUCUACAAUUUCAAGGUUUCCUGCCCCAUCUAAUUUUAGUUGCCAUUUUUAUCAUAGUGCCCCCCCCCCCCCCGUGACAAUACAUUUUAUGAGCCAUCCUUGUCAUGAAUAUUUGGGAGUAGCUGAUCUUGCUUGGAGAAAUAUAACAGAUUAACUUGCACUUCAAAGUUACUGGUACAUGUUUGGUUAAUAGCUAUUCUGUCUUACAUUAUGUUCCUUGAUCAAAACCUCACUUAUUUGGAUACCUUUGCAGUGUCCAAAUCCUAAUUAUGUGUGGAACACAAGCAAUGCUGAGGUUCAUUUGCUACAGAACAGUAAGAAAUCAACGCCUUUGCCAGAACUUCAUGAAACAUUCCAGUCCUUCUUGAUAAUAUUCAAUAUUGACGAUAAGAGGUGGGUGAGUGAGAACCAUUACAGGUACAGAAUUGAAAGAGUUUGUUAAUAACUAACACAAUUUUUGCUGAAUUGAAAGAACUAGAAAAAUAGGAAAAGGAGCCAAAAAGAGCAGCCUCUAGACUAUUUUUCCUCGAACCAUCAAAGGGUUAUAUUAUUUCCAUGUUUAGAUCUGGCUUGAGGGGUUAUUUUUUCUUUCUCUGAUUGACCUUUCAGCAUGAAGACUCAGAUAAGCAAGGUUCUGACUCUUGUCUUUUCACUGAUAUUCUCCUUUGCAGCAGCUGGAUAUCUCAAAUGCUUUCAGUGUGCAAAAGUUUUGAGAGAUAACACCUGUUCUCGUACUGAAACUACCUGUGAAACCGAUGGAUACUGCUAUACUGAAAGAAUAAAGAGAGGUAAUUUUAGAGACGUGCUUCAUUUUGACCAGUGGUUCCAA